rnacentral:rRNA from 1 species
UACGUAGGUCCCGAGCGUUGUCCGGAUUUAUUGGGCGUAAAGCGAGCGCAGGUGGUUUAUUAAGUCUGGUGUAAAAGGCAGUGGCUCAACCAUUGUAUGCAUUGGAAACUGGUAGACUUGAGUGCAGGAGAGGAGAGUGGAAUUCCAUGUGUAGCGGUGAAAUGCGUAGAUAUAUGGAGGAACACCGGUGGCGAAAGCGGCUCUCUGGCCUGUAACUGACACUGAGGCUCGAGAGCGUGGGGAGCAAACAGG